rnacentral:rRNA from 1 species
AGCUCCAAUAGCGUAUAUUAAAGUUGUUGCAGUUAAAAAGCUCGUAGUUGAACUUCAGACCUGGCCGGGCGGUCCUCCUCACGGUGCGUACUGUCUGGCUGGGCCUUACCUCUUGGUGAGCCGGCAUGCCCUUUACUGGGUGUGUCGGGGAACCAGGACUUUUACCUUGAGAAAAUUAGAGUGUUCAAAGCAGGCCUAUGCCUGAAUACGUUAGCAUGGAAUAAUGAAAUAGGACGUGCGGUUCUAUUUUGUUGGUUUCUAGAGUCGCCGUAAUGAUUAAUAGGGAUAGUUGGGGGCAUUCGUAUUCCGUUGCUAGAGGUGAAAUUCUUGGAUUUACGGAAGACGAACUUCUGCGAAAGCAUUUGCCAAGGAUGUUUUCA